GGUUGUGAAAUCACAAAUUACCAGCAAAAAUGAUCAAACUGUUGAGUGUUGCUGUUAUUGCUGGAUUCCUUUCUGUGGAACCAGCUGAUGG